CAUCUUUAAGUGCUGAGUGGGACAUGGCUGAAGGCUGCGGCUGUCCUUUUUGCUGGAGUUUUCCUCCGAAGCUACCAGCAUGAUGGAGAAAUGAUACUGAUUGUAGGAAAACAACCCAUUCAGGCAACUCCUGCCUUCCUGGGAAGGCCCCUGAAAGAAACAGCUGAAGAAGUUGAAGCUGAAGAUAGUGAAUGCCUUGUCUGAGACCAUUCUGCUGUUUCAGAAGGAAUCUGAGGUUGCCAGUGAGAAGAUUCAGCCCAAACUGAGUAGGCAAAACCGAUCUCAAAUGAAUCUGACUUGGAAAUUCCGAAGUUAAGUCUCAGUCCUCCUCAAGUAACACCUAUGAACAAGAGGAUGGAUUGAAUCCUGAGCCUUCAGCCAAGGCUGAAAGAUACAUCAACCACUCAAGUAAGU